rnacentral:lncRNA from 1 species
GGUAGAACUACAAUACUGAGGGCUUCUUAAAUCUGUUAUUCGAGUUGGUUCUGCCUGUCCAUAUUGGCUUUACUGUUACGAAAAUAAUGAGGGGAAGGAAAAUAUGGAGUUUACACCAGAAGAUAUAAAAAUAGAGUUAGACAGGAAGCUUGACAUUUAGUAGGGAUAGUUGGGGGAAUGUUGAUUAAUAGACAGUGCAUGAGGGAGACCUUUGGGG